rnacentral:rRNA from 1 species
UGGGGAAUAUUGCACAAUGGGGGAAACCCUGAUGCAGCGACGCCGCGUGAGUGAAGAAGUAUUUCGGUAUGUAAAGCUCUAUCAGCAGGGAAGAAAAUGACGGUACCUGACUAAGAAGCCCCAGCUAACUACGUGCC